AUUAAUUGAUCAUGAGAAACACAGAAUUUGAUUGGCUGAACAAGAUUGUCUUACCUUGGGAACAAAAUAAGGAACAGAUGAUUUUCACUAAAUCGUGUUUUAGAGUUUUUUUUAACGAUACCCUUAAUAUUAAUAUUUUUUAAUAAAUGCAAGGACGUAUUAUAAAACGUCUUUGAUAAGAGUAAAGAGAAUGAACACAGGGCGAACGUAC
rnacentral:lncRNA from 1 species